GUGAGAGCGGUUUACCCUUGUGCG
rnacentral:siRNA from 1 species